UCCUUCAUGACAACAGAGCCCACAACAACCAUGACUUUUAUCACCAUCUUCAUCUGGAUAUUUGCCCUCUGUCUCCAAGAGGCCAGAGGCCAGUACACUGUGACUCAGACUCCUGCAGUGGAAACUGUUUCAGUGGGUCAUUCAGUCAGUCUCAACUGUAAGUCCAGCAGUGCUGUGUACAGUGACCGCUUUGGACAGAGGAUGGCCUGGUAUCAACAGAAACCUGGAGGAGCUCCUAAACUCGUCAUUUAUCGGAUAAACAACAAGUUCACUGGGACUCCAUCUAGAUUCAGUGGUAGUGGAUCUGGGAGUGACUUCACUCUGACCAUCAAUGGAGUCCAGGCUGAAGAUGCAGGAGAUUACUACUGUCAGAGUUACCACAGUGGUUAUGUGUUCACACAGUGAUACAGAGCCGUACAAAAACCUCCCUCAGUCAGACUGCACAGUGACUGUACUGCUACAGCUGGGACCUACUGCAGGUGCUGGGGGGAAGAGACAGUGAUCCAGUACAAUGACACAGUGUGUAGUAGAGCUGAACAACAAUAUCUAUGUCUUAUAACUCAAAGCUGUAAGAUCAUAUUCAGUCAUUAUCCCAUGUGUUCCUUUCUGCAUUUUUACUCAUUUUUAUUGAGUAUCUCAUGGAGAACCAUGAAACCAUCUAUCUACAAAAAGGUUCAAAUCUUCCAAAACAGACUUCCUUACUUCAGAUCGUUUGGAUAUUGUAUUCUUAAGAUGUAGAGGAGAUGCUGAGUUUCAUGUACUGUAUUUAUGGUCUACAAAGUCCAAGUGUGUCUGAUCAGAGACACAGGAGAGGAGGGAGGGAGCUGACCUCAGGAACAGAGUCAGGAACAGAGUAGUAGUCCUGCACAUUGGAGCCCCUCUUCUCACAGUGUAAGUCCAACAGUCCAGUAGUCCAGUAUUUACAAUAUUAAAUCAUUUGGUGGGUGUU